rnacentral:rRNA from 1 species
AUUGAACGCUGGCGGCAGGCCUAACACAUGCAAGUCGAGCGGAUGAAGGGAGCUUGCUCCUGGAUUCAGCGGCGGACGGGUGAGUAAUGCCUAGGAAUCUGCCUGGUAGUGGGGGAUAACGUCCGGAAACGGGCGCUAAUACCGCAUACGUCCUGAGGGAGAAAGUGGGGGAUCUUCGGACCUCACGCUAUCAGAUGAGCCUAGGUCGGAUUAGCUAGUUGGUGGGGUAAAGGCCUACCAAGGCGACGAUCCGUAACUGGUCUGAGAGGAUGAUCAGGCAAAAUUGAAACGAGAAACGGGUCAGAAUUCUUAGGGAAGGCACAGGGGGGAAUAAUGGAAAAAGGGGCAAAGGCUUAACCAAGCAAGGCGGGGGGUGGGAAAAGGGUUUUCGAAUGGUAAAGAAUUUUAAGUGGGAAGAAAGGGAAUAAGUUAAUACCUUGCUGUUUUGACGUUACCAACAGAAUAAGCACCGGCUAACUUCGUG